ACGACGGGCUCGGGCAGAGAAACGACGGCUCUUGAAAAACAACGAAGAGGCGCCCAGGCUAGACCCGGAUGCUGCGAAGAAAACAAAGGGGCUGGUCGAAGGAAAUGAAUACGAAUGUGUUGCGGCGCAAGGGCGGCAGGCCGCUGACUU
rnacentral:ribozyme from 1 species